rnacentral:pre_miRNA from 1 species
AGCCUUCUGUAUCCGUGCUGAGAUUUCGUCACAAACCAGACCACAAGGGCUG